rnacentral:rRNA from 1 species
UACGGAGGGUGCGAGCGUUGUCCGGAAUCACUGGGCGUAAAGGGCGCGUAGGCGGCGCGGGAAGUCCGUGGUGAAAGCCCGAGGCUCAACUUCGGGUCGGCCAUGGAUACUCCUGGGCUCGAGCACUGUAGAGGCAGGUGGAAUUCCGGGUGUAGCGGUGGAAUGCGUAGAUAUCAAGAGGAACACCUGAGGUGAAGACGGGUUGCUGGGCCGACACUGACGCUGAGUGCGCGAAAGCCAGGGGAGCAAACGGG